rnacentral:lncRNA from 1 species
CAGCAGGAGCAGAGGAAGCCAAGCACUUCAUCUAAUUUAAUUUUCUCUUGCCUUUUUAAUAUAUGUUACAUCAUAAAGUUGGAUGUAUCAGCUUAAAUAACAGUUGCAGGGCUGCUGGUGAAUGAUGUGGAAAGAAAUUUUAAAAGGAAGGGCCAGCUAGAAUCCUGUCAUCCCAUGUGGAGAUGUUGAUGUAGAUCAGACAGACUUCCUUCCUGUUGGGGAUAAUGGCUUCCAAUCCAGAAUUUAGGCGGAGAAAGAGGAGCUGAGAGAGGCACACCAGCUUUUUAACUUCCUGGACUUUAACAGGCACACAUAGCUUCUAUUAUAGAUCACUGGCUUCCCCCACCCAAAAGGAGGCUCAGGAAAGAAGGGGUUAUGACAUCAUCGCUUGUUCAUUAGCCAUCUCAGACCACUGACAACUCCCCAAGUAACCCCCGCUGCAGUCAGACUCUGCUCCUUUGCCCCUUUGGCUCCCACCUGGAAUGUUCCAUUCUCUGCUUUGCCUUCAAGGACUGAGACUCGAAUCUCCUUACUUGAACCGUCUCCUCCUCUCAGAAAGCACAACAUUUUGCUUGCGUGGUGCAGAGGAGUGAUCAUUGUGUGUUCAUCUCUGCCGGAAAACUGUGGUCUCUGAGAGGGCACAUACCACAUACACUAGAUUUGCUUUUAAGGAAAGAAACAUUUAAAGAUCUGAAAA